rnacentral:rRNA from 1 species
CCCUUAGAUGUUCUGGGCUGCACGCGCGCUACACUGAUACUUUCAGCGAGUCCACCACCUUGCCUGAGAGGGUGGGGUAACCUCUGGAAAGUGUAUCGUGAUGGGGAUCGAUUAUUGUAAUUAUUAAUCUUCAACGAGGAAUUCCUAGUAAGCAUGUGUCAUCAGCCCGUGCUGAUUACGUCCCUGCCCUUUGUACACACCGCCCGUCGCUACUGCCAACUGAGAUGGGUCCUGAAUUGUUAGGAACGCCCGUCAAGGGGCCUACCCGGUCCCUAGUGCGGUGACGAGAAUAACUGUAAAUGGCAUAUCUUGUAGGGAGUAAAAGUCGUAACA